GAUGAACGCUAGCGGCAGGCUUAACGCAUGCAAGUCGAGGGGCAGCGCGGGAUAGCAAUAUCCUGGCGGCGACCGGCGGAAGGGUGCGUAACGCGUGAGCGACAUGCCCGUUGCCCGGGGACAACCGGUGGAAACGCCGACUAAUCCCCGAUGGGAUAUUGUGCCGCAUGGCACGAUAUUGAAAGUUACGGCGGCGACGGAUUGGCUCGCGUCCGAUUAGCUGGUUGGCGGGGUAACGGCCCACCAAGGCUGCGAUCGGUAGGGGUUCUGAGAGGAAGGCCCCCCACAAUGGGACUGAGACACGGCCCAUACUCCUACGGGAGGCAGCAGUGAGGAAUAUUGGUCAAUGGGCGGAAGCCUGAACCAGCCAUGCCGCGUGCGGGAAGGAGGCCCUAUGGGCUGUGAACCGCUUUUGCCUGGGGGCAAUAAGGGCGUCGCGCACGUCCGAUGAGAGUACCAGGCGAAUAAGCAUCGGCUAACUCCGUG
rnacentral:rRNA from 1 species